rnacentral:rRNA from 2 species
GCGAAGCUCUGAAUUCAAGCCCCAGUAAACGGCGGCCGUAACUAUAACGGUCCUAAGGUAGCGAAAUUCCUUGUCGGGUAAGUUCCGACCCGCACGAAAGGCGUAAUGAUUUGAGCGCUGUCUCGACAAUGCACCCGGUGAAAUUGAAGUACCGGUAAAGAUGCCGGUUACCCGCGCCAGGACGGAAAGACCCCAUGGAGCUUUACUCCAGUCUGGUACUGGGAUUCGGUACUGCACGUACAGGAUAGGUGGGAGCCUUAGAAGCAGGGACGCCAGUCUCUGUGGAGGCACUGUUGGGAUACCACCCCUGUAGUAUUGGGUUUCUAACCGGCCGCCGUGACCCGGCGGCGGGACAAUGCCAGGCGGGGAGUUUGACUGGGGCGGUCGCCUCCGAAAGGGUAUCGGAGGCGCUCAAAGUUUCCCUCAGAAUGGUCGGAAACCAUUCGGAGAGUGCAAAGGCAGAAGGGAGGCUGACUGCGACACCGACGGGUGGAGCAGGUACGAAAGUAGGACUUAGUGAUCCGGUGGUAUAAAGUGGGAUUGCCAUCGCUCAACGGAUAAAAGCUACCCUGGGGAUAACAGGCUAAUCACGCCCAAGAGUUCACAUCGACGGCGUGGUUUGGCACCUCGAUGUCGGCUCAUCGCAUCCUGGGGCUGAAGCAGGUCCCAAGGGUUGGGCUGUUCGCCCAUUAAAGCGGUACGCGAGCUGGGUUCAGAACGUCGUGAGACAGUUCGGUCCCUAUCCGGCGCGGGCGUAGGAUAUUUGAGGGGAGCUGGCCUUAGUACGAGAGGACCGGGCUGGACGGACCGCUGGUGUACCAGUCGUCAUGCCAAUGGCGCCGCUGGGUAGCCAAGUCCGGAUCGGAUAAGCGCUGAAGGCAUCUAAGCGCGAAGCCGUCCCCAAGAUGAGAUAUCCCGAUCCCUUCGGGGAACAAUAGAAAGACCCUUAGAGAACAUGAGGUAGAUAGGGCAGGGGUGGAAGCAUGGCAACAUGUGCAGCUGACUGUCACUAAUCGUCUGAGGGCUUGACCU